UGUCACCACCAGGGGAGCAGAGGUUGACCUACCCUCUGCCCCAGGAUGCCCCAGAGGGGAGGUGCAGGUAUGACAUCCAUGCACCCCCUAGUUCUUCACCUUCUCUCCAGUCUCCAUCUUACACACCCAUGAGCAAUCUCACCCCCCAAACCACUCUCAUUCCCCUGACGGAGGCUGCAAGGGCACCUCAGCACCCCCAACGCGCCCCCACUCCAUCCCUACCACCUGGAAUGGGCUAGGCCCCUGGUUAGGAGCUGAUCCAACAUGGGUAUCGUGAGAAACAACUCGGGCACCUCAAAAGCCCUCAUGACACACAGUCCACUCUCACCUUCCAAGGCCAAGCUGCCAACACAGUUGGGAAAACAGCCCCCAAAAUUAAGACAGGGCUUGUCCUGGUUGGAAUGAAGCAAUUCCAUCACAGUUCACUUGGCUGGCUCAUUGCAGGCAGCGGGGGCAGGACCCAAAGCACUGUGGGUGUUGCACCCACUCGCUGCAAGGCUGAAUCAGCUUUCCAAAAAGCAAACAAGCAGGAGAGGAUUGUUGGGAAAGGAAGUGACCAGGCCUGUCCAAGGGGAGGCAGGCGUGGAUUAGCAAUGGAGGUGGAGGUUCCUAGAGCUCAAUAAAGGAUUCGCCAGGGCUGGGAACACUGGAGGACAUCCGUCACCUCCCCUUUACUGCAUGACAUCGAGCGAUUUAUGACCGAACUGGAACUGACUAGUUUGGCAAAAGGGAUACAGAGAGGAGCCGACACAGCAUCACAGCAAAACCGCUCCUGCAAGGACCAAAUUCCCAGGGAGAACCUCCUGAAGAAUCCACUGCAGCCAGGAAUGUUUUCCAAGACAUCCCUUGAGGUACCACUGAGUUCCAGGCCUGUAAGAGGACCUGUGGCCACAGUCCUGGGCUCUGCCAGGAACAGGAGCUGGUGACAUCUGAUAAGGAACAGAUAGACUGAGGACUGGGGCACAUCCACUUCAGCACAUUCUGGAAGGGCAGCCCUUGUGUUUUGCAGUCCAAGGGCUCUGCUCCUGGAUGUCCAGCAGCUCAUCCUCUGCUGUAGUCAUACCCUUCCUGACGCUCAUCUGCUGCACACUGAACUAUGGUCCUCUCCACCUUCAUCCUCUGAGAAACAGCUCAGAGCAACACUUCCAGAUGAAGUUUCCUUUCCAAGAUGCCAAAAUUGCACCUCACACCAGACAUGGCAGCUGGUCCCUUUGUGGCACAGAGAGGGAAGGAAUCAACAAGUUUCAACUGUAUUUCUGGCUGUAAGCAGGAAUUUCAGAGCAGCCUUUAAGGAUUCCACUUGUUGUCAGCAGAGUAGAGGACACAGCUCUGAAAGGGGAUGCACUGCACAGCCCAGCCUGGUACAACACUUCCAACUGUGCUGUGCCAGAGCAUCUGAGAUUGGGCUCCCUGGAACAGCAAAGAUCUCUCAGGAAAGGUUUGCUCUUCGAAGUGGCUGGAAUGUGGAAAUAGUUCAUCACUUCCUACAGGAAAUUUUUUGAUCCGAUUAAAAAUUCUAAUGUCAACUUCCAAGACACUACUUCUAAAAGCUUAUAAAGCUUCAAAACUCAAGGUGUUGAGGUACAAGGUUAGAAAUCAAGACUCUGUUGACCUCAAUUUGAUUUCCCCAUUGUAUUACAGUUAGGGAACAACUUCUGUGUGUUUCAUGUUCUGGCCCAGCAAGAGAAAAGACUAUUUGGGCCUCCAAGAAUUCUCAUGCAGGAAAACUCCUCCUUCCAACCCACACCUGGAGCGAUGCAUGAAACUAUUCUGUUUUCUUUAACUUUUUCAGAGGCCCUGAGCUCUGGUACCCCUCCUCCCUUCAGAGGAGCUGGUUAUGAGCAACAGAGUAUGUACAUGGCUGACCAAAUAUUAUCUCAUCCAUGGGGACAAGCCAGCUCUCCUCCACCAUCAGCUCUGCCAAAUUGCUCCUGUGCACAUCCUGCUCUCCAGCGUUAAUGCCUCUGCAUUGCUGUGGUAGCUCUCUUCUUAUCUCAGCCUCCUCAGAUGUCAGUAAUAUCCCUAGUACACAGCACUUGUAUCAUGUUUUGAAGAACAACUCCACUGCCACAGCCAUUUUCUUUGUCCCUGGAUUUGACUGGAGCAUGGAGCUCCCCCCCACAGGCACAGGACACUCAACAAAACAGCAGCAAGUUUUGCUUGCACCCUGCCUUCACACCAUAGCCUCUGCUAACCCACAGGUUAGAUUAGACCAAAAUUGGGUAAGAUUUUUUAGAGAUUUUAACAGAGCAGAUAACAAAUUCCUUCUGCCUUCAAUUUUGAAAAGAUAAAAUGUCAGAAGUCAAGAUUCUGAUCUUUUUAAUGUGUUUUUGGUGACUUUGUCUCUGCUUUCCAGGCUUGUGGAAUACACUAACUGCAUUUUCCCAAGUAUUUCUGUACUGCCACAAGGUCGGAAAUCUACUGAUACAAGGUACACAAAAGAAGAGCUGAGAUUCCUCAGUGAUACUUUGACACAGGCAGCUGAGGACUGGAGAAAAAAAACAAAUAGCCUGAACCUUUAAAAGGUAAAAGUUGGCAUGAGUGAUCUCAAAUCCAAACAUUUUACAACACUGGGGGGAAAAAAAAACCCAAACCAAAACCCACAAGAAGAAUACAACACUCAACAGGCUUUUUAAGAUUUUAGCACCAGGGGAUGAUGUCAGCUCCAGGCAUCACAUCCUGAAGAGGUCAACCCUUGUCUGCAAAAAAGGUUCUGUUAGACCUAAUGAGGCACAAGCUGCCAAUGAAGAUUUUUCUAGGCUUGGGGCAUUGAAAACAUGUCACCCUUGUGCAGAUUCUUACCUAUUAAGGGUAGGGUUUCUGCCACACUAAGAACAUUAGUGUCUUUCCUCAUUUUCCUUAGGGAGAAAACUGGUAUUUGAGUACCUCAAAGAUAACAUGCCAUUGCCUGACUCCUUCCUGAGGCCAUUCCGAGAGCCUCCACCCUCCCACACAAUGGAAGUUGUUCCUGCCCCUCCCUCUGUCUACACCUUCAGGUAUCCCACUAGGGAGGCUCUGAUACCCAAACCCAGUAGGAAAGCAUCCAGGUCUCUCAGCCUGCAAAGAAGCAUCAAGCCACGUGCAGCCUCAGAGCCCUGAUCCAAGAACGCGUGUCCUGCUGCUGGAGGAGGAAGGCAGCUGUGUGCAGGCACCUGGAAUUGUGCAGCCACCUGCAACGGUCCAGCCGAGGGAACGAAAUCUCACAAGUAGGAAAGGAACACCUCUGCGAUCCCAAAGCACACAGUACGGGAAACAUCUGCUAGUUCUGCAAGCACAUGAACCAAUGUGAUUCUCCUGGAAGUGCCAGCAAAUCCUUCCCUGCCCUCGCUCACUCUUGGAUUCCUAGAAUACAAGAGGACUUUAUUUUCAACCUGGUUUGCCACUUGCUUCUCUUUCUCCUGCAUAAAACGGGCAUAAUUGUGGGAAGAGAUGGGAUGGAGUUGAGCUGCAGGCUGUGGCAUGCACUUGCAGAAGCACAUCGGAGCACAAAGAAGCACAUGGCAGCAGAGAGGCUUGUCUCUGCCUGACCUUGGGGACAGCAGGUGCCACGUGGCAGAGCCCUGCAGAGAGGAGCCUGCCCAAAGCUGACAGACAGGUGAACAGUGCGUGAUCCCAGAGAAGGAUAUGAAGAAAGCGUGUUGCUGAUGUGUGAGGUGUGAUAGGUCGCUUAGUGAGAAUUACCAUGUAAGGAAAUACUGUGCCUUGAAAACGUGAAUAAAACCAGCUUGUUUCUUUGAAUAAACAAUUCAGAUUCCCUGCCGGUCUGAUUUCGUGCCUCAGUUGUUACAUAUAAUAACACUCUACCUUACAGGCUUUGGAAAGCCUUAAUUAGAUAAACUGCUCUGAGAUUUGAGUAAGAGGAAAAUUAAAUCAACAUCUUAUUAUAAAGCCAGAGCUACUGCACACACUUUUUUCUAAGUAUAUUCAGCCUCUUUGUGAGUGUCUGCAAAUACAUUCCAACCUUCCUAACAAGGCUCAUCUCAGUAGGGAAGAAGUCACCUUCAGUUGUGGAAAAGCCAGAUUUAGUUUUCUGUGUAACCUCCAUUGACCUCUUCACAUCCACCACUGGCAGCGAAUGGGGAAAAAGCCAUGUGGCUGUGUAAUUACAGAUUGCAGUGAAGUUGCCCUGCCCAGGUACUGCUCCCCAGGUGAGGGGGAUAUGCAGCAUGCCUUGAGUCUGGUCCCAGGGAUGAAGGAGUCUGAAGGGAGAUCAGGCAAUUUAAUCUCCAAAUUAGGAAAGCCACACCCAGUGACCCUGCGGAAGGGUGGUACCUCUCUCCUUACACCUGAGCAGACCCCCUUGUGGUCAACAUACAGCACAGAGGUGUUGGCCUGACCCCUGCAACCAGGGACUGCCAACAGCAGCUUCCUGCUUCACAAGAGCUGAAUGUAUAUUUCAUAUUCCAAAGAUUUGGCAGUCCCCUGGAACUCCCUAACUUCCACACAGCAUGAAAUUGCAAGAGCUACAAGGGUCCUUUGGACAGCAAAGACAACCUGAAUACAGCAGUCACACUCCACCCCAAAAUCAGGAUGCUGUUCCCAUGCUAUGCUGGUGCUUGCAGUGAGGGGUUUUUGGGGUUAACAACAGAGAGCACAGUUUAGGACAGCAGGGCCCAAAUCUCACCAGGAUUUUCUUCUUUCCUGGAAACAACCAACAGGCUGGGAGUUGCUGGCAGGUGCCAGUGAGCUUUGCCAUCACUGCUUUCCAACUGCUGCCAUUUCCUGCUCAUCCCACUGCAGGUCAAAGACCAAGAAUAACAACCUUCACUGGCAUGACAACUGCCAUGCCAUACAAUCCCUGGGCAAGAGGGAAAAGCAGAGGCACACAUGACUCAGAUUCCCUUGCCUUUCCCUGCCUGUAUUCCAGCCAACUGUCCAGGCCUGGCUCAUGCUCUUCUGACUCCUGCUGGAUCCUAUUUAGCUCAGAUUAGCACUCCUGCCUCCAAAGGUAAUUUCCUGCAAUGUGUCCCACUUUUUAAGCAACACAAGCUCCCAUUCAGCCAGGCAGUUACAUACAGGCAGUUACUGCCUUCAGUGAGAGCUAAAAGCAUGAACUCCAGAGCUUUGCUGGUUAAGCACAGAGCUAACAACUCAUUUUCGUCCAGAGCACCUCACUUUGCAGGAGGGCCUUCAAAAAAAAUCCUCCUAAUCCUCAUUUUUCUGGUAAUUUCUAUCUUGCCCUGAAACACAGUUAAAAUCAGAACUUCUGUUGAAGCUAUUAUCUACACACAAGGAUGGGUGCCAGGCACCCCCAUCAAGGAAAAGAAAUAUUUACAACAGCAAAAAUGGUCCUGAUUGUGGCAUUCUCCCUCAUGGACUUAUUUUCCCCAAUAUGGCAACAAACCAAAAACGUUGGCACUUCUCUGACUGAGAUAUCAGAUCCUGCUGACUGAUCAGAACAAAAACUGCAUGACUCAGUUUCCCUUUAUCUGUGUUUACAGAGAUGGAAGGAUGGUCCCCAAACCUCAUAACUUGAUCCCUGCAGCCCCAUCCUCACUUCUAGGCAGUAAAACCUGUGCAUCUUUCAGUAGUGCUCAGGAAAAACAGUUAAGUUCAGUUUGGGUCAGCAAUUCCUGUAGGCAACCCAGUGGGGACAAGCUAGGGCUCAUCCCAAUGCCAAUGACAGCAAGAAGCUCUUCCAGUUUUCAUUAUGAUGCAGUGCCAAAAGCUGCUGGUGUGUGUACAGGGAGGUUCCCUCUGCUCACACCUCUCUUCUAUUGAAAAUAAUCAGGUCUCAUUAAUCCUAGAGCUCUAGAACUCACUGCAGGUUAGAAAUGGUGGUGCCAUACCCAAAGGCAGAGCAGAAUUAUUUGGGAGAGAAGAUAAUUGUGUCUGAUCUCACAUGCCAUUGGUCAAAAGAAUUUGAUGACCACUGUUGUAACAAUCCAAAUCACUAUGGAUGACUGCUGUUCUCACUUUGCUGUGCUGUCAGGAAGAUCCUGUGAAAGCUCCAAUUUGCAGUGGAAUUUACAAUUUACUUAAU